rnacentral:rRNA from 1 species
AACGAACGCUGGCGGCAGGCCUAACACAUGCAAGUCGAACGCCCGUAGCAAUACGGGAGUGGCAGACGGGUGAGUAACGCGUGGGAACGUGCCCUUCGGUUUGGAAUAACUCAGGGAAACUUGAGCUAAUGCCAAAUACGUCCGUAAGGAGAAAGAUUUAUCGCCGAAGGAUCGGCCCGCGUCGGAUUAGCUAGUUGGUGAGGUAACGGCCCACCAAGGCGACGAUCCGUAGCUGGUCUGAGAGGAUGAUCAGCCACACUGGGACUGAGACACGGCCCAGACUCCUACGGGAGGCAGCAGUGGGGAAUAUUGGACAAUGGGCGAAAGCCUGAUCCAGCCAUGCCGCGUGAGUGAAGAAGGCCUUAGGGUUGUAAAGCUCUUUCAGCGGGAAGAAAGCCGAGUGCUAAUAUCACUCGGUCUUGACG